rnacentral:rRNA from 1 species
AUUGAACGCUGGCGGCAGGCCUAACACAUGCAAGUCGAGCGGAUGAAGGGAGCUUGCUCCUGGAUUCAGCGGCGGACGGGUGAGUAAUGCCUAGGAAUCUGCCUGGUAGUGGGGGAUAACGUCCGGAAACGGGCGCUAAUACCGCAUACGUCCUGAUGGAGCAAGUGGGGGAUCUUCGGAACUCACGCUAUCAGGUGAGCCUAGGUCGGAUUAGCUAGUUGGUGGGGUAAAGGCCUACCAAGGCGACGAUCCGUAACUGGUCUGAGUGGAUGAUCAGUCACACUGGAACUGAGACACGGUCCAGACUCCUACGGGAGGCAGCAGUGGGGAAUAUUGGACAAUGGGCGAAAGCCUGAUCCAGCCAUGCCGCGUGUGUGAAGAAGGUCUUCGGAUUGUAAAGCACUUUAAGUUGGGAGGAAGGGCAGUAAGUUAAUACCUUGCUGUUUUGACGUUACCAACAGAAGAAGCACCGGCUAACUUCGUG